CCUUCGAUAGCUCAGUUGGAAGAGCGUGGGACUGUAAUCGGAUAAUUCGGGCAUCCCAAGGUCACUGGUUCGAUCCCGGUUCGAAGGA